UACGGAGGAUCCGAGCGUUAUCCGGAUUUAUUGGGUUUAAAGGGUGCGCAGGCGGGGGAUUAAGUCGGCGGUGAAAUUUUGCAGCUCAACUGUAAAAGUGCCUUCGAAACUGGUUUCCUUGAGUGUAGAUGAAGUAGGCGGAAUUUGUGGUGUAGCGGUGAAAUGCAUAGAUAUCACGAGGAACUCCGAUUGCGCAGGCAGCUUACUAAACCAUAACUGACGCUCAGGCACGAAGGCGUGGGGAUCAAACAGGAUUAGAUACCCUGGUAGU
rnacentral:rRNA from 1 species